rnacentral:rRNA from 1 species
UGGGGAAUAUUGGACAAUGGGCGCAAGCCUGAUCCAGCAAUGCCGCGUGUGUGAAGAAGGCCUGCGGGUUGUAAAGCACUUUCAGUGGGGAGGAGAGGCUUCGGUUUAAUACGCCGGAGAAGAGACGUUACCCACAGAAGAAGCACCGGCUAACUCUGUGCCAGCAGCCGCGGUAAUACAGAGGGUGCAAGCGUUAAUCGGAAUUACUGGGCGUAAAGGGUGCGUAGGUGGUUUGAUAAGUUAGGUGUGAAAGUCCUGGGCUUAACCUGGGGACUGCGCCUAAUACUGUCAGGCUAGAGUACUGUAGAGGAAGGUGGAAUUUCCAGUGUAGCGGUGAAAUGCGUAGAUAUUGGAAGGAACAUCGGUGGCGAAGGCGACUUGCUGGGCUUGUAGUGACGCUGAGACGCGAAAGCGUGGGGAGCAAACAGGAUUAGAUACCCUUGUAGUCCCUGAGCGGGCUGGCAAGGCGCAU